rnacentral:rRNA from 1 species
UACGGGGGGGGCAAGCGUUGUUCGGAAUUACUGGGCGUAAAGGGCUCGUAGGCGGCCAACUAAGUCAGACGUGAAAUCCCUCGGCUUAACCGGGGAACUGCGUCUGAUACUGGAUGGCUUGAAUCCGGGAGAGGGAUGCGGAAUUCCAGGUGUAGCGGUGAAAUGCGUAGAUAUCUGGAGGAACACCGGUGGCGAAGGCGGCAUCCUGGACCGGCAUUGACGCUGAGGCACGAAAGCGUGGGGAUCAAACAGG